UCAGAUCUAAGUAUUCACUAUAUCAUAAUCAUUUGAAACAGUUUAAAACUUUUUUUUUUAUUUAAGGAAAGGUGACCCUUGUGAAAUCUAUUGAACAUGACAUUCUAGAAAAACUUGGACAAAAACAGCUAAAGGCAGUGAUCAAACAUUUUCCAAAUCUCUCCAUCGGUAAGUUCCUCACUAGGUGUUCCUGAAGCAAAGGUAUUUUGACCAUGUUGACAUAGCCCCAAGAAUAUUCCAAGUCAAUCCUCUUGGAAAACUUCAGGGCAAGAUUUUGGCAAGAACCUACCUAUCAUCAAAAAAAUCAAGACUCUAAUAUGGACCCUCCUUCCCAGUUCUACUAAGGGUGUUGAGGAUACUGUCCAGAUGAAACUUGAGGGAGCUCUACUUUCAAAUGCAGGAGGAGACCUGAUGACCAAAAUCAUCUCCCAGAAGGAGUUGCUUGGUUAUGUUUUAUUGCCAGACUUCCGAAAGGAAUGGUCUACAUUUUUAUCAAGGC
rnacentral:lncRNA from 1 species